ensembl:lncRNA
CCUAUGUUUAAAUCUUUCUCACUCACACCCUUUACAAGUCUAAAUUUGAGUUACACUCACAGAGAUAAAAUGCUGUAUUUGGCUUUGUGUGUUGUAGAACAUUAUUAGCAGAGUAAAAAAUUGCUUCUUUAGCAUUUUCUUCACAUUUUUCAGCUUUUAUUUUCCUGAACAAUUGGAAAGCAAAUGGACCGUGAUGAGGUUUGCUGCUUCUGCACCAGGCUAUAAACAGAAGUUUCCUGUCAUUUCUAGAAACUACAAACCCAUUUUGGAACUGGAACAGAAAUAUUAGAUCUGUGAGGCUCGUGACAUCUGACACCCAUUUUCAUACUGAGCCCAGUUUUUAACAACUGACAAGGCAAAUACGAUAGUGAACAACGUGAAGGAGAGUUAUUGGAGGUCUUUGAUGCAGCUCAGGAAAUAUCACCUUGUUUGUCCCUACACAGUCUCUGCAACUCUGCACCUCUCCCUCUCUAACAGUUCACUUUCUAAGUGUAGCACUGAUACAGUGAACCAUAUUGAUUAGGUUAUGUAUUAGGUGCACAUGUGUACAAACAUGUAACAGUGGUUACAUAUUGUAAAUUCCAAGGUAUUUUUAGAAUAGUCUAAGUAAAGGUGUGUUAGGAGAAGAACAUCACCACUUUUGGACAGAUGGCAGAACUAACAGAAAUCAAUUUCUUACACAUUUCUUUUCUAAUUUCCUAGCUAACCUCUUUUUCCCCUUCCUCUUUCCUUAAUUCCAACCUAAACAGUAGGAAUGAAGCAAGAAUUCAAAGACAUUUCAGUGACUAUCAUAGAGAUCAGACAUGCAAAAGCUAUUGCCUAAGAAAACUUUCAGAAAACAUUAAUUUGAUGGGUAAUUUCCUUCUUGUGUGAAUUUGCCUCAUUUUUCUACUCACAGUUUAUUAUUCAUGUAUGAAUACAGGAAUGAAACAUACAUGCAAAAAAUUGGGGUUUUCAUCUCUUAUUUGUUUUGGGUAAAGAGAAAAAACACAAAAUAAUUUUGCAGAUUUAAAUUGUCCUAAGGUUCUAAAUUUACUGAGAUUAAUUAAAAUAGAAUGAAUCAGAAUAAAUAGGAUUAAGAAUGUAAUAGGGUUUGGAAAAUUCAUUAAAAAAAUUACUGGUUAUUUUGAUGCUAGAUAGUAAAGGGAUUUAAAGUAGUAUAUCUAAAGAAGCUUCCAAUAAAAGGCUUUCUAUUCAAUGGAAAAAAACCAAAACAAACAAACCAAACAAAACAAACAAAAAAAAACCUGUGAAAAUUACAACAUACUACAACUAUAUUACAAUACAGGUAUCGCAGGUCAACCAGAUGAUGGUGGUUAGAUGAAAUAUCUAUAGUGGAGUUCAACUGUUAUCUGAAAAUACUCUCUUCAGCCUUGUGAAACAGAUAAGAGGAAGAACUUCUGAGGUAGUGGAAAAUACAUGAACUGAUUUAACCCACUUAGUAUUGACAAUGGGCUAAUCAUUAUACAUAAUACAGGAACCUUCAAAAGUCUUGUAUUUUUCCUAUCUAGAAAAGUCAUUUAUGACCAAUAUCUGAUAAUUUCCAUAUAAUCAUCUAAAAGUUAUUUACAAUGAUUUUUUAAAGGAUACAUAAAUUUGUAAGAUACAUAUAUUUUAUUUCAAACUGCUGUUAUUAUUAAAGUCAAGCUAAAGAGAUAAAAUCUUAGUGAAAUUAGUCACAAUCUGAGUGUGAUAGGAGUUGCAAGCUAAAUAACUCCACUAGAAUGUCCAUCACUACUAGAAAAAUACUAAAAUCUCAAGACAUUCAAUUUUGACUGGGACAUUCGUUGCUCACCCAAACUGGGUAAUGGACUGCUCAGCUCUAAUACUAUGUGUUCAUCCUAUCAGCAUUCCUGGGAUACACGAACUUUAUGUCUGUGUUCAGUUCCUGUCAGGAGUUAUCAGUUAGGCAUAGAGUUGUGCAGAAAUAUCAGAAAUAUUUCCAGUUCUUCUAGACCAAAGCUACACCACCUUGAGAGUUUCUCUACCAAACUCACCUACUUUUAUAAAUAAAUAAAUAAAUAAAUAAAUAAAUAAAUAAAUAAAUAACAUAUGAGAUAAGACUUGCUUGCAGUUAUCACCAAAGAUAAGACAAGAGACUGUGUCUGGCAUCUUGAUACCUUGAUUUUGUAUGUGUCAGAAUCUCCUGCACAUCUCGUUUCAUGUACAGUUUUCUGUACGUGUCUGGUUUCAGUACAUAAAUGCUAAACAAGGAGGAAAAAACCUCUCUGUAUUACACAGUCUUUGAGUGUUUUCUUGGAAAGCACCACAUGCUGGAAAGACCACUACAAAUAUUCAUGAAGGUAUUUUCAUAUAGCUCAUCAUGUGAAAUGCUUAUUACUGGUAGUUUAAGUUUUCCCAUAAAAUGUUAAUGAAAGCCAUUUAUUUAUUAAUCACUAUUUAGUUAUAUAAAAAAGAAAUAUGAGUCAUAAAUAAGGAGACAGACAAAAGUAAGUUUUUGUUUUUAAAAACCUUAUGUUCACAUUAUUUUAUCACCACUGUGUUAGAGAAAUUACUGUUUUAUAUUCAAAUAAAUGAAAAGGAAUGGAAAAUGAAAAAAGAGAAUUGUCUAUGAUAAAGAUUGAAACUUUAAUAAGCACCAAUGUUGUACAAUGGUUAUUAAUUUCCUUUAGAACCACGUAUGUCCUUUUCUCACACACAGAUUAUAGUUUGUGUUUUGAUUUUCAUUAUUUGUUGGUGCUUAUUUAUUCUGGGUGAUUGGUUAUUCAAGCAUGUCAAGAAUAUUCGAUUUACAAGAUUGGUCCCAGCAUUACAGUGAAUUUUCAGAAAUAUAGUCUGUUUAUUUCAUAUGCCACGACUGAAAGCUCAAGACAUUUAUUCACUCAUUAUUCUAACUACCUUGCCGUCCCACUGUAGUUUCCACAAGAACAGCAAGUGCUGUGCUUCUCUAAUCGGCACUUCUUAGCCAGCCCUCUGUCCCAUUCAUCAUCUCUGUCUACAAAUGGUCAGCUCUGAAGGGCAGAUCAGCCACAAGUCUCCAGAGAAGUCACAGAUGAGACACACAAGGAUAAAAGAAAAGCAAAACAGGGACACUGCUAAAGGAAACGACAAAAAAAACCUGAGCAAACAAUUGAGCUAAGAAGAGAUUAGAAGAACAUGUCAGAACAGAUUAAUUUGAGGAGAUGAAGCAUAAGGCAUAAUAUUAGGAAUUUUUAUGGAAUAGCUAGAGAGACAAGUCAACAAGAAAAAUAAAAAGAGAGAAAGGAGAGGCAAAUAAAAUAACCAAAGCCUUUCAAAGUAUAUCAGAAUAGCCUUAGAUUAAAACUAAAAGAAAAUUGUCAAAAAAAGGGAGGAUGAAGUAAGUGGUAAGCAUAAAGAAGGAAGGACUUGGUAAUAAAAUACUAAAUGAGGAAUUUAUGUAGCAAUGUAAAUUACUGGUUAAAUGUACUGGUUGAAAUACAUUUUAUCCUGACAGACUAGAACAUCACCUUCAAAAUGUAAUUGCAAUGUCACUUGCAGUAAAGACCAAAUAAAUUAUAUGUCACUUUACUCAGAGGAGGCAAAGUUAAAUUUGCCUACACUGCUGAGAAGCUUGCUCAGAGCCUACAUUUUUUUUUCCUUUGUAAAGUAAGACCAUUCAGCUAAUGCUGAAUCAUAUUUUAAUGAAUGCACUUAAUAUUCACAGGCUUAAUUAGUUAUAUUUUUACACACAGCUAUCCAGAAUGUUUAUGGCCCAUGAACUUAGUUCUUUUUCUAACAUUUAUGGUCUGAUUGUUGAAAAUUAAAUUAUUUGCCUGAAAAUUAAACAGUUUGUGAACAUUGGCUGAAAUUUAGCCUUCUGUUCUCAUGGGAGCUUAUAAGGAAUUUGAAAAUAUAUAUUUAACACAAAGGUUAAUCAAAAGUUAAUAGUUCUUAUGAUUGAGCAGAGUGGAUAGAAAGUAGGGAGAGUUUAGUAGUCUUUUCAGAUGUUAAGUCAUUUCAGCUGGAAAUCUCUAAGGGCUCUCAGUGACUCUCUUACCUCUGUUUCUUAGACGAAAACAGUCUAGUGACAUGCUAGGGCAUUAGUGUCUACUCAAUUUGACACCAGUUAGAGAAAAAGUACAAAAAGCUUUAUUUAGUAAGUCAAAAGCGAUCUAUACAAAAAGUAUUACACAAAUUAAUCUUCUAAAUAAAUGCUGAAAAUGAGUAAUCAACCCAGAAAAUAGCUGGCAAAUUUCUUACCUUGAAACAGUUGUUACACUAGUAAUUGCAGACAUGCUCGUAUUUUACACAGGAUUAUAAAAUUUAGAAUAUGUAGAAAACAAAAUAAAGAAACAAAACUAAAUCAGGCAAUGUAUGUCAAUGUAUGCCUGUGUUACUGACACAUGCAAUACAGUUGAUAUUCUUUGAUAUGAAAUCUUAAAAAUGUGAUAUAUUAAGUGCUUAUAUGGGAAACCUUUAAGAAAAACAGAUUAAAUUAAGUCAUAAAUCACAGCAUUUUCAAAAUUGACAAAAGGAGGAAAGGGGUUAGAAACAGCUCAUUCUUGAAAGAACAUACAGAACCCAGGUUUAGCUUCUUGUUUGCCUGAACAGAUGUGACUCUUUGAUUGUUCUUUUUUUUCAAAAGGAUAUGCUAAAAACAUUUCUGGGAGGUGCUGUCAAUUUACUCUGUAUAAACAAUUAAAAAUUAAUGGAAAGAGAAACAGAAAGUUGCAUAUUUAUCUCAUGGGUAGAUGCACUAAUCAUCAGGCAAUAGCAAUAUUUUCACUCUUGGGUCCUAUAAGUAUUUUAAUAACUUCCACAUUAAGCAAAAUGUCUGCAGCAAGAUUUACUAAAUAAAAUCCAAGACUAAAAUCAUUAGACUCUAACACUUAGGAACCUGUACUGAAAAAUGAAAAAAAAAAAA